rnacentral:rRNA from 1 species
CCUACGGGAGGCAGCAGUGAGGAAUAUUGGACAAUGGACGCAAGUCUGAACCAGCCAUGCCGCGUGCAGGAUGAAGGCUCUAUGAGUGUUAAACUGCUUUUGUACGGAGGUAGACCCCGAUCCGUAUAUCCUUUUGAAAGUAUCUUACGCGUAAGGGUCGGCUAACUCCGUGCCAGCAGCCGCGGUAAUACGGAGGGGCCGAGCGUUAUGCGGAUUGAUUGGGUUUAGCGGGUACGUAGGCGGUUUGAUAAGUUAGAGGUGAAAUGUCGGGGCUCAACCCCGAAACUGCCUCUAAUACUGGUGGACUAGAGAAUAGUAGCGGUAGGCGGAAUGUCAGGUGUAGCGGUGAAAUGCUUAGAGAUCAUACAGAACACCGAUGGCGAAGGCAGCUUACCAAACUAUAUCUGACGUUGAGGCACGAAAGCGUGGGUAGCAAACAGGAUUAGAUACCCCUGUAGUC